CCCCACAGCUCCUGCCAACCCUCCCCAGUCAGGUCUGUCCUGUCCCUACUCUCACCAGGACCUGCCUUCAGAAGGCCUCCCCCACCCCCACCAGGUCUUGCCCUCCCAUGAGACCUGUUUCUGUGGGAGAACUAUGGUUCCCUUGAUGACAAAUUUUGCCAUGUGACUUACUCUGGACGGUUUUGUGUAAAUGGAUUAUAUGUAUUUAGCUCAUCCUGUACUGUUGGACAUUUAGGUUGUUUCCAAUUUUUGGCUAAUACACAUAACUCACUGAUAAACCUCCUUGUGGACUCACCAUUUUCUGGCCUCCUUUCCACCCUUUCUAUUUCAUCAGUUCCUGCGGAUGGUGGAUGCCUGUGCCAGCUUCCUCACUGAAGCCUUGAACCCAGAAAACUGCGUUGGAAUACUGAGGCUGGCUGACACACACUCGCUGGACAGUCUAAAGAAGCAGGUUCAGAGUUACAUCAUUCAAAACUUUGUGCAGAUUCUGAACUCUGAGG
rnacentral:lncRNA from 1 species